GCAACAGGAAUUCAUGUGAAAGAAGCCAGCAUUACAGUUCUGGUGCAACUACAGACUCUUUUGAAACACCAAAAUCAGGCAAUCGCAACUCUCUACAUCAGGAUCACGACAGCUUUCAAAGAUCUGUUCUGACGAAGCUUGAUAUAAUGCUUGAAAAACAAGAAGAAGCAUUAUCAAUUUUGCGGGUAGUACUUGGUGCCACAAGAGGUGUUAGUGGAAAUGACAUGCUUGAGGAUAUUAUUCCCAAUCCUCUGGACUCAGUUGAGGAAUUGGAAAACCUUAAUGAUCGACUUGCAGAUGAAGAUGCUAGGAAAAAAAUGUUACAAUUCUUCCUUGCUCUG